UGCAAGUCGAACGGUGAAAGAGGAGCUUGCUCCUCUGGAUCAGUGGCGAACGGGUGAGUAACACGUGAGUAACCUGCCCCAGACUCUGGGAUAAGCACUGGAAACGGUGUCUAAUACCGGAUACGAGCUUCAGCCGCAUGGCUAGGAGCUGGAAAGAAUUUCGGUCUGGGAUGGACUCGCGGCCUAUCAGCUAGUUGGUGAGGUAAUGGCUCACCAAGGCGACGACGGGUAGCCGGCCUGAGAGGGUGACCGGCCACACUGGGACUGAGACACGGCCCAGACUCCUACGGGAGGCAGCAGUGGGGAAUAUUGCACAAUGGGCGCAAGCCUGAUGCAGCAACGCCGCGUGAGGGACGACGGCCUUCGGGUUGUAAACCUCUUUUAGUAGGGAAGAAGCGAAAGUGACGGUACCUGCAGAAAAAGCACCGGCUAACUACGUGCCAGCAGCCGCGGUAAUACGUAGGGUGCAAGCGUUAUCCGGAAUUAUUGGGCGUAAAGAGCUCGUAGGCGGUUUGUCGCGUCUGCUGUGAAAACUGGAGGCUCAACCUCCAGCCUGCAGUGGGUACGGGCAGACUAGAGUGCGGUAGGGGAGAUUGGAAUUCCUGGUGUAGCGGUGGAAUGCGCAGAUAUCAGGAGGAACACCGAUGGCGAAGGCAGAUCUCUGGGCCGUAACUGACGCUGAGGAGCGAAAGCAUGGGGAGCGAACAGGAUUAGAUACCCUGGUAGUCCAUGCCGUAAACGUUGGGAACUAGAUGUAGGGACCAUUCCACGGUUUCUGUGUCGCAGCUAACGCAUUAAGUUCCCCGCCUGGGGAGUACGGCCGCAAGGCUAAAACUCAAAGGAAUUGACGGGGGCCCGCACAAGCGGCGGAGCAUGCGGAUUAAUUCGAUGCAACGCGAAGAACCUUACCAAGGCUUGACAUAUACCGGAAAAGUUCAGAAAUGUUCUCCCCGCAAGGUCGGUAUACAGGUGGUGCAUGGUUGUCGUCAGCUCGUGUCGUGAGAUGUUGGGGUUAAGUCCCGCAACGAGCGCAACCCUCGUUCUAUGUUGCCAGCACGUAAUGGUGGGAACUCAUAGGA
rnacentral:rRNA from 1 species